UUAUUGGAAGUUUACAAAUGUAUUACAGACAUCAGUAAAACAUAUCCAUUUUACAGGGCACGGAUCUCAAGCAAAGUGUUCACAACAGUCUCUGGCAGAGCCCACACCAAAGGCCCAUUGCAGACCUUCUUUACAAAUAGCUUGACACUCGACACACAAAACAGAGUCUGGCCUGCCUCACCUUCUCAGACCCUCUGAGGUUUUGUUUAUGCACUUGGAGUUAAAGCAGGAGAUGGGCAGAGCAACCCUGUACAGGAAAGAAUGUGUUUAGGAGAGGGAAAACUGCCAAAGUCCUAAUUUGCUAAGGAAAAUGAAAGACUCAUAGACCUUAGAAUGUUAAGUCAGGGUCCAUGGUAGAACCAAAAUGCUCUCUGGAAACACAUGAAUAUCAACUAGAGAGGCUGGAGAACAGAUCCUACUAGUGGGUAAAACUCUCCAAAAAUUUUUUAAAACGUGGGUCAGUGACCUAUUGAACACGAAUGGCCAAAUGCCCAGUAGGGUGAAGGGAUGUCUCCAAAAACUCUCAGGAUAGAACAAUUUUUUUUUUUCUAUCCUACAGAUCCAUCAUAUCUAAAUCACCAGAAAUGUUUUCCUACACUGCUUGACUUUCCUCCCUCCUUUUUUUUUUUAUUCCCCUUUGGGGAAAGCUAGUUUUGUCAGCAGGAAGUAAGCUUAUAAAAGAGUAUAGCUCCCAAUAGUGAGUCAUGGUUUAUGGCAGUCUUGUGUUGACUGGGCUACUAUUAUGAGAAAAUGGAAAAGGAAUCCAAUCCUUUCUUGGUCCUAACCCUUGACAACUACUUCCAAGUGGUCAAACAAGCCCCAGUGCUAAACGGUUGCUAAUAGCAACUCUCCUGGCAUGGAAUAUUCAGAUAACUGGUUUUAUUUCCCACUUUCCUUUGUCAUAGAUAGAUUCUCCUCCUUAGGCAUUUAGCAUCUGGUUUCUGUUAGACAGAAACAUACAAAGAGCACUUCUCCUUGGAAUUUAAAUAUUUGUGUUAUUUCUUGUUAGAAGGUGGGAUUAGACGAAGAAUAAGAUGGCCUCUUAUUUGACCUCUGCAAAAGGAUGAACAGAAGGCUGCCUGUAAUGAUUGGCCAAGAACACGGGAAUGCAAAAGGAGGCCAGAGAUUUGUCUUUGUUUUGCUUAAAGAAGUCAGCCUCCACUUUUAGCAUCCACAAAGGAACUGGGCAGUCACUUAAUAACUUAAAUGAACUCACAGUCAUUUAUGAACGAUGCUUCCUAAAAAGUUGGUGUACUCUUUGGGGCCAAUGGCAAAAGAUGGAAAGACAAAAAUCAGUUCACAAAUGAGAUUUGUUAUCAAAUAACCUCAGUUCUGAUCGACUGAUCCUAGCCAGUGGGAGUGUCACAAGGAUUUCUGAAGCUGCAUCCGUGCUCCCUGGGAAGGUGUACAGUGACAAAUUGGUUUUAUCUGCCGGGCUAUCAGGGAUAGCAGAGCAUGUGCAACAUACAUGUCAUCACCGGCUGCUUCUGAACUCAGCAAUGGCGAGUGGUACCCAAGAAGUGGAAAGCCACCGUAGGAGAAGGAAUGAUCAUUUGUUGCAGUGCAAAAGCAUGCCACAGAAUGGGACAAGAGGAUGAGAAAGAGCUGCCUUCUGAUCCCCUAUUGCAAAUACAAAAUUGCCUGUUCCCUGGGCUGGCUGAGGGCAGAAAGGAAGAAUGAGAGAUGAGAAGGUGAAUGUAGAAAGAAGGCAUCAAACAAGCAACACUAGGAAUUCCACCCGCCUUGAACCUGCACAGGACCAGGAAGCAUGGUCUCACCCCCACUCACCUUCACACUUGAUAGAGAUCCCGGAACUACAUGACAGAAGGAAGGGUUACCUGAAUGCCACACUCAAUGCCACCAGACUGCUAGGAAACCUGUUCCCGGUAUCAAGGGUUGUAUGAAUUGGCAGUGCCUUUCAGGAGAUGGACGGUGGCUACUUCUUCCUGGGAAAGAGCCAGUUCUGCUGCCACUGAAUUGAGGGCAGCGAGAGGAAAUGAACUGAACUCCAAAGCCGUGGUUUUAACCAAAAGACUAGAAGACCAAUAUGAAGAGAGGUAGGAAAAGCAAACCCAAGGCAUUAGAGAUGAGAGGAAACUAGCAAAAGAUUGCUUUUCUAGAACAGUCUAUCAAACAUGAAAUGAUGAUCCAGGAAGAGGUGAGUGUAAGCCCCACUCACAGGCCAAACUUGACAAGGAAGAGCUCGUGGUCAUGACGGAGGAAUCAGGUAACGACCUUAAUUAAGCUCUUGCCUCAGAAGAGAACGCAUUGAGUUUUAGGGAACGGGAUUCUGUGAUGCUAGGUGUAAGCUAUCAUUAACAGCUGGACUUCCUAAAACAAUGACAUCCUGCUCUCUCCAGGGCCUUCACUGGGAGGUCCCAUCAGCUUUGUGGCGAUUGGACCGUCCUCACGGGCAUUGUCUGUAAGGUGCCUGGCUGCACGUGGGGUGGGGAGAAGCAGCGGUGAAACACGUGGAGGUGAUCUUGUUUCUAGACGGUGCGACCCUGAGGCUCGCAUCUCACUAUGCUUCAAGCUCUGGCCAGUUCAGCGGCCGGAUGCUCCCUGGGCAGCUAGCUCUGAAAUCGCUUCUUCCUCCCAUCGCUUCAUGGGAUGUGGCUACUUGUGGACUUCCGGCCACCCUCUUCUUUCUGCUGAUAGUGGCUCAAGCCUCAUCUGGGGAAAGUAAGAGGAACUUUUGAAAAGGAUGGAGUUAGAAAGCAGCUUUUACCAGGAGAAUUUCUUUCAAUGGAUUCCAGGCCGCAGAGGAUAGACAUUAUUUUCAGCUUUUUUGCUAUGUUAAGCGAUCUACUUUUGUCUCUCUUUUCUUUUUCCAGAAUGCCUUUUUUUAUUCUCAAUCAAUCAAGGAACUCGAAACUCCAAAUUGGACUCGCCCGAUUUCUACCAGAAACCUGCCACUUCAGUAGCAUGGUGUUGCACAUUAUUUCUUAAUCGGUUUUUUGCCAAGCAGUUUACAAACUUACUAUACAAACGUAAUAGAGUUAAUUCUCCGGAGGCUUGGAUAAUUAAUGAAGCAUUUAGAUAUGAAGAUAGCAUGCGGAAAACAGCCACAACCAACAUUUGCAUUGCUUUUUUUUAAAAAAUCAGUGACAAUGACAAAUGUCAUAUUAAUACCUGAAAAGCAAAUUAUUUUAAUACAUCCUGAAUGGAGUGCCAUUUUCACGUCCUUUACAGCCUUCUUUUCCCCAGACCCAUUUGGGAUGGUGUCUGAAAAGCCACUUUUCACAUUCUCUCCAUAAAAAAAAAUACUAGAAAAUAUUAACUACUAUACUGAAAAGAGACCACGCUCACCUCACCAUGGCAGAUGGCCACUGAGAUACACCGUGUACUACAUCAACAGUACAUCUCACUAAAGGUGGGUCCUCCGAUGGAUUAUUUCUACUGCCACAAUCCAUUAAAGGGAGGAGGAGAAUGGAACAAAAAGCAAGCGCUUCAUUCGGAACUGAAGCAAGGUAGGAAGUUUUAUUUUACUAUAAACAACACAACCGUUAAAUGUCUUCUUCAAGCAAACUCACUUUUUUUGAGCCCAUUUUCUGUCUGACCAACAGUCCCCAAAGUUCAACAUGGAAAUCCCCCUCUGAAUAGCAUUUAUUUUUCAAGGUCAUUACCCUGAAAUCUCCUGAGCAGCUCCCUUUCCUGGGUUACCCAGACACUCUGGUUGUGGGGUGUGUUAAACUGGACUCUUUCCACAAGCACUGGGGUGGGGUGGGGGGCGUUCUUCAAGGUGGCAGUCACUUCCACUCUACUGCAUCUCCAGAAGUACUUCUUUGCUCUGACCUUCCCCUUCAGCCUCUACGCUUGACCUGCCUCCCGCUUUCCAAUUUCCUCGGUCCUUCUCCCCGCAUGACGUACAACCUAGGACACCCCAUCACUCCCAGAGCCCCACAGAACCUUCUGUCCUUAAAUGUCUACAGCUUCAGUUCAUUUGCACUGAGGACAACCGGUUGUCAGGCUAAGGCAGCUGUUCCGUCUGCCUUGGUAAAGGAAAGCAGAUAAUAUAAUCCAGGAAACAUGAGCACCAGAAAAUAAUGCCACACUCAAAGCAACGUCAUGCUGACAUCACACGACGGGUACCACUCACAGUCACUUUCAUUUUCCCCAAGGGACAGAUCAAGAGUGAGCAACUUCCACAUUCCUAGUGGGGACAGCAUUGUUGCUCACGGGACUUUACGGACACUGGUUGGUUUCUCUAAUUGGCAAAAGUUAACGUUUGCAAUUAAAAAAAAAAAUUACUAUCACUUUGUAGGGAAGAAAUUCUACCAAGGGUGGGAGCAGACUUAAGGAUGUCUCCUUAAGAUGGAAUGGAGCAUAAAAUGCUUUGGGUGUAAUAAUACUUUUUUUUUUUAGCCACAAAAAGCCAAAUUGAAUAAACUCCUUUGAAAAAAGGUCUCACUGACAUGUAACAAAUUUGUAUAGAAAAAAGAAAAAGAAAAAAAAAAAAAAAA
rnacentral:lncRNA from 1 species